CUGGGGAACACCAAAUGCGAAGGCAGCACACUGGGACUUUCUUGACGCUGAGGCACGAAAGCGUGGGCAGCGAACGGGAUUAGAUACCCCGGUAGUCCACGCCCUAAACGCUGUCUGCUAGCUUUUGAAGGAAUCGACCCCUCCAGAGGCGUAGGUAACCCGUUAAGCAGACCGCCUGGGUAGUACGAGCGCAAGCUUAAAACUCAAAGGAAUAGACGGGGGCUCGCACAAGCGGUGGAGCGCGGGGCUUAAUUCGUCGCUAAGCGAAAAACCUUACCGAGGCUAGAAACCAUACUGCACGCUCCGGGAAACCGGAGAAGCCUUCGAGGGUGUAUGGCAGGUGAUGCAUGGCCGUCGUCAGUUCGUGGCUUGAGCUGUUCCCUUAAGUGGGGAAACGAACGCAACCCUCGUUGCCUGUUACAAGUGUCAGGCGAGACUGCUCCCUCACGGGAGAGGAAGGUGAGGAUGACGCCAGGUCAGCAUGUCCCUUGAUGCCUCGGGCUGCACCCACGCUACAAUGGGACGCACAACGGGACGCAAUACUGUAAAGUGGAGCAAAUCCUUAUAAAACGUUCCUCAGUUCGGAUUGUGGUCUGCAACUCGACCACAUGAAGUCGGAAUCGCUAGUAAUCGCGGAUCAGCACGCCGCGGUGAAUACGUUCCCGAGCCUUGCACACACCGCCCGUC
rnacentral:rRNA from 1 species